rnacentral:lncRNA from 1 species
GACUUGAAUAGCUCUCUGUGUCCUGCUCUGAACUCAGGUGUUGGGUGCUGUAAGGGGACCUCAGCUAAGCUCUGAAGUUGAGACACAGGGUCACUGCCCACAAUUCAGAGGAGCAGGGUGUGUGGACCACCUGGGGAUCUCCAUUCCCACACACAGCAUCCUCUCCCACUGAGGCCAGACAUGGCAGUCCAUUAAGGGAACAGAUUCCAAAGAUAGGCAGCAGCUUUAUGGCCAGCCAGUGCUACAGUUAUUGGAGGACCCUCAUGAAGACUGAGCUGCACAUCUGCUACCUACAUGUCAGGGGCCUUAGUCCAGUGUAUCCUAUUUGGAUUGUCAGAAGAUGACCUCAGAACUCCUGAUCUUCAUGUAAUGGGUUGUUGUUGAUCCCAAUGCAUAUGCUAGAAAUUGACAACCAUUAUGAGGAAGACCAGCAAGGGUGUUCCACUGUUGAGCUAUUUCUCCUGCCCUAUGUUGCUUAUUUAUGAUCAAUAUUUGUAUUACUCCUAUUUUCACCUGUCCAUUUGUAACUGUUUAAACAUGCAUUCCCUUUUAGUAAAAUGUUAUUAAUGUUGUAGUUUAAACUGGUAUACUUCAUGUUUCUGGAAGAUGAAUACAGGAUUGCAGUGAAUUUAUAAUUGUUUGUAUUAGCUUCAGUAAAGAAUUGUGAGUU